rnacentral:rRNA from 1 species
AGAGUUUGAUUCUGGCUCAGAUUGAACGCUGGCGGCGUGCUUAACACAUGCAAGUCGAACGUGAAAGUCCUUCGGGACGAGUAAAGUGGCGCACGGGUGAGUAACGCGUGGAUAAUCUACCCUUAAGAUGGGGAUAACGGCUGGAAACGGUCGCUAAUACCGAAUACGCUCCCGAUUUUAUCAUUGGGGGGAAAGAUGGCCUCUGCUUGCAAGCUAUCGCUUGAGGAUGAGUCCGCGUCCCAUUAGCUAGUUGGCGGGGUAACGGCCCACCAAGGCAACGAUGGGUAGCCGGUCUGAGAGGAUGACCGGCCACACUGGAACUGGAACACGGUCCAGACUCCUACGGGAGGCAGCAGUGGGGAAUAUUGCGCAAUGGGCGAAAGCCUGACGCAGCGACGCCGCGUGAGGGAUGAAGGUUCUCGGAUCGUAAACCUCUGUCAGGGGGGAAGAAACCCCCUCGUGUGAAUAAUGCGAGGGCUUGACGGUACCCCCAAAGGAAGCACCGGCUAACUCCGUGCCAGCAGCCGCGGUAAUACGGAGGGUGCAAGCGUUAAUCGGAAUCACUGGGCGUAAAGCGCACGUAGGCGGUCUGGUAAGUCAGAGGUGAAAGCCCACAGCCCAACUGUGGAACUGCCUUUGAUACUGCCAGACUUGAGUACCGGAGAGGGUGGCGGAAUUCCAGGUGUAGGAGUGAAAUCCGUAGAUAUCUGGAGGAACACCGGUGGCGAAGGCGGCCACCUGGACGGUAACUGACGCUGAGGUGCGAAAGCGUGGGUAGCAAACAGGAUUAGAUACCCUGGUAGUCCACGCCGUAAACG